rnacentral:rRNA from 1 species
GCGUUAUCCGGAUUCACUGGGUUUAAAGGGUGCGUAGGAGGGCAGGUAAGUCAGUGGUGAAAUCUCCAAGCUUAACUUGGAAACUGCCGUUGAUACUAUCUGUCUUGAAUAUUGUGGAGGUGAGCGGAAUAUGUCAUGUAGCGGUGAAAUGCUUAGAUAUGACAUAGAACACCAAUUGCGAAGGCAGCUCACUACUCAAUUAUUGACUCUGAGGCACGAAAGCGUG